ACAUCGCCUCUUGAUCAAUCAUAAGAGGUCCAGCCUGCCCAGUGACAUAGUUUAACGGCCGCGGUACCCUGACCGUGCGAAGGUAGCAUAAUCACUUGUUCUUUAAAUAAGGACUCGUAUCAACGGCAUCACGAGGGUUACACUGUCUCCCCUCUCUAAUCAGUGAAACUGACUUCCCCGUGAAGAGGCGGGGAUACAACUACAAGACGAGAAGACCCCAUGGAGCUUUAAACCCAGUGACAACCCCUAUCAACUAUAGCCUAAAAAUUAACUGGCCCUGUCUACUGGUUUUAGGUUGGGGUGACCAAGGAGUAAAACUUAACCUCCAAGACGAACGGUCUUAUCCUAAUCCAAGAGCUACUGCUCUAAGAAUCAAAAAUUUGACGUAAUAUGAUCCGGCAACCGAUCAACGAACCAAGUUACCCUGGGGAUAACAGCGCAAUCCAUUUCAAGAGCCCCUAUCGACAAAUGGGUUUACGACCUCGAUGUUGGAUCAGGGUAUCCCAGUGGUGCAGCCGCUACUAAAGGUUUGUUUGUUCAACAAUUAAAACCCUACGUGAUCUGAGUUCAGA
rnacentral:rRNA from 1 species